GGGUGAGUAACACGUGGGCAACCUGCCCAAAAGAGGGGGAUAACACUUGGAAACAGGUGCUAAUACCGCAUAACCAUAGUUACCGCAUGGUAACUAUGUAAAAGGUGGCUAUACUACCGCUUUUGGAUGGGCCCGCGGCGCAUUAGCUAGUUGGUAGGGUAAAGGCUUACCAAGGCAAUGAUGCGUAGCCGAAUUGAGAGGUUGAUCGGCCACAUUGGGACUGAGACACGGCCCAAACUCCUACGGGAGGCAGCAGUAGGGAAUCUUCCACAAUGGGCGAAAGCCUGAUGGAGCAACGCCGCGUGGGUGAAGAAGGUCUUCGGAUCGUAAAACCCUGUUGUUAGAGAAGAAAGUGCGUGAGAGUAACUGUUCACGUUUCGACGGUAUCUAACCAGAAAGCCACGGCUAACUACGUGCCAGCAGCCGCGGUAAUACGUAGGUGGCAAGCGUUAUCCGGAUUUAUUGGGCGUAAAGGGAACGCAGGCGGUCUUUUAAGUCUGAUGUGAAAGCCUUCGGCUUAACCGGAGUAGUGCAUUGGAAACUGGGAGACUUGAGCGCAGAAGAGGAGAGUGGAACUCCAUGUGUAGCGGUGAAAUGCGUAGAUAUAUGGAAGAACACCAGUGGCGAAAGCGGCUCUCUGGUCUGUAACUGACGCUGAGGUUCGAAAGCGUGGGUAGCAAACAGGAUUAGAUACCCUGGUAGUCCACGCCGUAAACGAUGAAUGAUAAGUGUUGGAG
rnacentral:rRNA from 1 species